rnacentral:tRNA from 1 species
GCGCGAGUGGCGAAGUUGGUAGACGCGAUACCUUGAGGUGGUAUUGGGAGCAAUCCCGUGGAGGUUCGAGUCCUCUCUCGCGCA